UACGGAGGGUGCAAACGUUGCUCGGAAUUAUUGGGCGUAAAGCGCACGUAGGCGGUCCAGCAAGUCGGGUGUGAAAGCCCUCGGCUUAACCGAGGAAGUGCAUUCGAAACUACUGGGCUUGAAUACUGAAGAGGAUCGCGGAAUUCCCGGUGUAGAGGUGAAAUUCGUAGAUAUCGGGAGGAACACCAGUGGCGAAGGCGGCGAUCUGGGCAGAUAUUGACGCUGAGGUGCGAAAGCGUGGGGAGCAAACAGG
rnacentral:rRNA from 1 species